AUCCUUUGUAGUUCAUAAGCAUGAUGAUUGGGUUUUCACGCACAUGUGUGAGAUGUGUCUCCCUCAAAACUUGUUACCAUGUGUGCACAUUAGCUGUCUGACA